AGAUGUCUACUGCAAGGACCAAGAACAGCUAGUGCUUACAGGAGCUGCCUAUGAGGAACAUCAAGGAGGGUACUCCUUCUUUCAGGGACACUUCAAAGCAGGGGACUAACUUGGGCACACCGGGUGGUUUCCCUGAAAGUGUUUUAUCCCUUCAACAGAGUGGAAGAGAAAGAGAAGGAAAAUAGCCACUUGUAGGUUCAUGUUGGUCUUCACUGUCCUUAAAGCUUCAAAAGAUUUGCCUCUAAGACAAGACUAAGUAAGCCAUUGACUCACUGACUUCAGGUACAUGACCAAAGAGAUUUGAAGGAGCCAUGCAUGGGAGAGAAGUGUUUACCUCCUUUACUAUACAUCAGAAGAGAAGAUGUGAUGACCGUUUCUUAAGAACUGAAGCAUGUAAACAUGAAACAUGUAAACAUUAAACAGGGAAUUUCAGCCAGCCAGCCAAGUUAGUUAGACAGUCAACUUAGGUUAAAAAGCCAGUUGUUGUCUCAUUGACUUUUGGAACUGUAUCAUACCAAAAGCAGUUAUAGAAAGGUUCCUAAUCUAUGCUAUGAAAGUGGGCAAUAAUAGGUAGUGUAGUUUUCAUUCAUUUGGUCAGCCUGGGUAAGAUGUUCAGUGCUUAUUAGGUUUCUGCAUAUCCAUCAGUUCUCCUGCCCCCACAUUUUUUUCUCUACUGUGUAAUUUCAGUCAAACUCAACAGGUCUCAAUGACAAUUUUCUCUGAAUACAGAAAAAAAUCACUGAUAGGUCAGACAGUAACACCCUUAGCUGAGGGUAAGUUGGGAGAAAAUAAAAUAUUGCAUUCUCAAUUUUCACCUUACUUUCUGGCUAGCCAGACAAAACAAAUAUAGCAUUGACAAUUCACCCACAUGGCAAGUUGCCUUGGUCAUUGGCACUGUCAGAAAAGAUAGGAGGUUGAUAAGGGCGGAAAUACUGUGACAGAAGAAGGGAUAGAAGGGUAAAAGGGCACAAAAUAUGUGAGCAUUUAAUUCACUAAUGUUUUUUACUAUGUGUCUUGGGUACAGAGACAAGGGUGUUGAGGGUUUCUGUGCUGUCUGUUCAGGUGCCAUUCAUGUUACAGCUGUUGGUGUGGCUCUGGCAGGGAAAAACCCAUGGCCACAACUAGAAAGGGGUCCAUUUCUUCUGGCUCACUGAAGUGGAGGGCAGACCGUGGCACCACACUACCAGCCUUUCCAGGACAUGUCUGCAGAACCAGUAAGGAGAGGCAGCAGGACCAUUCCCAAGCCAAACAGUGCUGAAGUGACAGCUUCAGAACUGCAGCUGGGACCAGCAGAGCAAGGGGCACUGUUCUUCGGUGACCAGUGAGUCUAUUUCCUUCCCCUCAGCAUCCUGGCAGCAGGUCCAACCCUGCACUGACACCAACUGAGCCCAGUGGGUGGCGGGAGGAGGCAGCAAGCAGCAGCACUGACCACACACACACACAUAUGCCUCCACAGUUGCUGAAAGGAAGAAGGACUGACACAAAUAAGGACAGUUGAACGAGAACAGAACAGCACAACUAUUCUAUUUUGGUGAAAUAGAUGAAAGAUGAAACUCAGGCAAAUAUGAGUCAGGCAAAAUGCAAGCAGGAUGCCAGUUUAGCUCUGUGAGCCUGACAAAGCAGAAGUUAUGCAAAACAAUGAUAUUGCACUUACUCGCAAGUGGGAGUCAAGGAACAGCCGCUUAAAAAGGACACCCAACACUGAAGACCCCAAAGAAGUGUGUAAGGAUUUUGAUAAGGGAUGAAAUCUAAGGUAACCCUGCUGGGGUGAAAGUAAUAAGAUUGACCAAUUUUUCUGCUAAGGAUGUCUUCGCUUCCUCUCUCUUCAAAGAAAUGAACAAAAAUAUAUUUACAAUAACAUCAGGAAAAACAAUGCUUAAAAGCAAGAGGAUUUUGAAUUUGUGUGAAUCUGUAAAUUAUAGCUAUGAGACAAUUACACCUACAUGAACAGGCGUAUUGUGUACAUAAUAAAGGGUUGCUGUACCAGGUUCAAAGAAA